GCAAUAUUCUUUUCGUAUUUUUCCUUCAGCUUUGCAGCCUUCUUUUCAUAAGGCUGCUUGUCAUCUGCAGCAGUGUCAUUCUACAUCUCUCCCAGCUUCUUUGCAACAUCACCAAUGGAUAGGCCAGGAUGUUCUCCUUUGAUUUGGGGGCGAUACUCAGAACAGAACAAGAAAAAG